CAGUUUCCGAAAUUUUAAUUUUCGUUUCUCGAUUUAAAUAGCUUACUAUUCAAGAUCAAAUAUAUGAAGGUGGGGCGUAUCAAUUUCGCCAGCAGAGCCUACAGCAACAUUUUUACUCGUUGGAUCAAUUGAAAGAGAACACACCCACUCUGUAAUGUUUAUUGUUGCUAAAGUUCCAUCAUUGGAACCUGAUACAAUAGUGCUACAUGUUUCAUCCAGUGCAUUUACGUUCCUAGAAUGAGCUCCGUCUAUACUGAAGUAAAAAUUUAUAUUCUGGUUACAUUCUGGUUUUGUCCAAAAUUGUAGACUUCCAUCUCUGUAAAAUAAAAAACGAUGUUCGUGUGAAAUAUUAUAAAACUUUAUAAAAUAUUA